rnacentral:rRNA from 1 species
AUUGAACGCUGGCGGCAGGCCUAACACAUGCAAGUCGAGCGGGGUUUUCGGACCUAGCGGCGGACGGGUGAGUAAUGCGUAGGAAGCUACCCGAUAGAGGGGGAUACCAGUUGGAAACGACUGUUAAUACCGCAUAAUGUCUACGGACCAAAGUGUGGGACCUUCGGGCCACAUGCUAUCGGAUGCGCCUACGUGGGAUUAGCUAGUUGGUGAGGUAAUGGCUCACCAAGGCGACGAUCCGUAGCUGGUUUGAGGGGAUGAUCAGCCACACUGGAACGGAGACACGGUCCAGACUCCUACGGGAGGCAGCAGUGGGGAAUGUUGGACAAUGGGCGCAAGCCUGAUCCAGCCAUGCCGCGUGUGUGAAGAAGGCCUUCGGGUUGUAAAGCACUUUCAGUAGGGAGGAAGGGUGUUGUGUUAAUAGCACAGCAUUUUGACGUUACCUACAGAAGAAGCACCGGCUAACUCUGUGCCAGCAGCCGCAGUAAAAC